AUGAAGAACCAUCCAUUAAUCAACGUAAUAGCAUCGAAUAGCCAUGGUUCAAUGUUUCUGUACGCAGAAGACUUCUCUGGAGAAGAGAAGACAGGUGAAGCCAUUUCACAAUUCUUACUGCAAGCCAUUGAGGAGAUUGGCCCUUCCAAUGUCCUUCAGGUCAUCACUGAUAAUGCAUCUAAUUGCAGAGUUGCGGGUGAAGAAAUUCAGAGAGUGCAUAAGCAUAUAUUUUGGUCUCCAUGUGUGGUUCACACACUGAAUCUAGUAUUCAAAGAUUUUGCAAAAAAGUUUGCUUGGAUGGUUGAUACAUACCAGACUGGGAAAGCAAUUGUGAAGUUCUUUAGGAGCCACCAGCACUUUCAAGAUCUAUUUAGACGCAACUCCAAGUUGGAUCUUUUGAAGGUCUCAAAAACAAGAUUUGCUUCUCAUUAUAUUUUUCUUAAGAGGCUUAUGGAUGUUCGAGAGGCGCUCACAACUACCAUUGUCACAAGCAAGUGGAAGGAACUGGUGAAGGCUUGUGAUGUACAAACAAGAGCAGCAGCAAAUGCGAUUGCCCAAAAUAUCAUUGAUGAGACAUUUUGGGAUGAGAUUAAAAUCAUCCUUGACAUCACAAAACCAUUAUACAUGAUAAUCAAGUUCAGUGACGGAGAAGGUCCAAAAUCUGGUGAUAUAUAUCAAAAAUGGACAAUAUGCUUGGCGAGAUGCAAGAAGUCAUGA
rnacentral:rRNA from 1 species